UGAUCUCCAUGGAAACCCUAGCCCCCCACUGUCAUGGUCCCACUGUUGCUGGGGUCUCCAUGGAAACCACCCACAGCGACAUGGACAGCGGCAGCUGGAAAAUGGAGUCUGCUGCAAGCCUGAUCCAGCCAAUGGGCUGGAUUUUCCCACCCUCUCUCUAUCAAAAGUUACAGAUAUGGUUACCUGGGCACAGGUUAGCAAGACCAGACACAAACAUCCCAGAACUGUGCUAAAGAGCUUGAUGCAGAGAAGAGACAGCUCAGUGUCUUAGAAACUAGUAGUAGUGGGUAGUGUGAGUAAAGUACCAUACAUCCUUCUUCCUGUCCAUUAUCACACAAUACUGGUCACUUGUUAAGUUGGAAGAGUUCCUUUAAGAAAGUGCACAAAAACCACCCUUCCAGGUCUGUUAUCAGUUCAGAGGUCAAAAACGGUCCAAGCCUAGCAGCCCAUUGGGUUAGUAUGGUUAAGGCAUGCAAGCUUCUGUAGUCAAUGACACAAAAGGAAAUGAUAGCUCGCAUCAUGCCCAGACACAUCUGACUCCUCAGUCCAAAUAACCUGAUAUCCUUUGGCACCUCUAUUGACUGAGGGUGCCCUUCUGCAUGAGUCAAGAGGGAGGUCCCAACCCACACCUCCAGAUCCACAGAGACACAUCCUUACCACUCUGCCACUGCACUCCUCAUCAUUUCAAAUGAGGAGGUGUAAAGCUUCCAGAUGGGACCUUAUACAGCUCCCAGCAGCUUCCAAAGGAGCUGGAUUGGGCCUGGAGAAGUUCAGGAAGUUUUGGGAAAGAGUAGGAACCUCAACAGUGGUGUCAGGGAAAAAACAACAUGGAGAAAAAGCACUGCAAUUAUAUCUAAUUAUCUAUCAAAGAGGAAGAAUGAUGAUGGCAGGCUCCUUUGACAAGCACAUUUGUUUUGUAGUUCAGGAGCACCAAUGAUACCACAGCCCCCUCUCUCUGCUCACAGAAGCCUGCUGUUACUCAACCUCUCAGCAUGCUGCCAAGUGCCAUUCCACCUAACCAUAUAUGCCAUUAUCACAUCAGACUGAUCGAAGUUUCUACCUACUCUUCUUUCCUGACACAUGCACUUUAUAUUUUGCUUCCAUUUAAUCAUUGUUACCUACUUGGGUUCUGAAACAAGUUUUACUUUUCACUUUUGCUUACAGGCUGCCUAUAAAUUAAGUAUUCUGGGGACAUCAAAGCCUGAAUAUUUGCAUAAUUGUUUCCUUUGCUGUUUUCCUUUAGUACAUAUAAUCUCUUAUUUUCAUAAAGUCAGUUUAACAAAUACAGCUGGGAUCAUAACAGCCCUCAGAAGAGGUCAGGAAAUUAGCAUCAAGGCCAAGACUGCAAAGCAUAAAUGUCAAGCUGAUGCUCACUGUCUUCUGGUAAUAUCACCAUGAAUUCCUCUGUAGAGUCACACACAUAGGCCUACAUUUCCUUUGAGAAAAAGAGAAUAUGAUAGGCUUCUUUUCCCUCCAACACUCAAAGUAGACCUGGAGCCAACAGCAACUCAUUUGUCUGUUAACAUCAACACACAAGUCACGGCUCAUCAGAAAUUCCAAAUGGGACUAGCGAGCCUCAGUCUGAUCCAUCACACACUCCAGCGCCAUCAGAUGUCUCAGCUACAAGGAACAAGAAGAAGGCUGUCUGCAAGCAACAGGAGAUUUCAUAGGAAAGUUGGACCAGAAGGGAACACCUGGGUUCUCCAGUCCAGACCCCUACAACUGCAUACAGUUGUGUAUGAGAUGUUCAGUCUAGGAGGUCCGCGAGGACAUGGAUUCUAAGCCACCUCUAUAUAAGAACCCAACACUUCUCUAACAAACUGAAGACCUUUACUACAGAAAGCCAACUACUCAGAAAUUGCAGUGGGCCUCAGGAGAAACCAGGGUGCUACUAAUGCAGAGUGUGGCAGUGCACUGUGUGUGCCUGCCACUUUAAGGGCCUGGAGCUGGCAGCCUCCAGGUGCCUGAUUAGGGCAGCCAUUUUGGAGACAGCGGCUGCCUACUUAAACAGGGCAGUUUGGCUGCAGGAGACCAGGCAGCAACAUUGCCUGGUUGAAGGGUUGCUGUGAAUGAACUGGAGCUUAGAUGCCCUAAUCCAGCUCUAUGCCAGUGUAAGAACCAAGAGGCAGCAGCAAGAGGGGCCAUCAGGAGUUAGCUCAGCUCAAGCCCGGAUGUCUAGGUUCUUCCAGGUAUGGAAGCAGCUGAGGAAUAAGAAGCAACGUGAAAGCUAUGCCUCUUCCUAUGUUUGCCAUGUACCCUGUUCCAAACAUUCAUGCUGUCUGUGCAAAGGCUGUCAGUAGAAGGAUUCAGUCCACUUGCUACCAUCCAUGGCAUCACAUCCAUGCCAUCACUGGCUCAAUGCGAGUGGGAGAGAGGCUGAGGGGGUCUGACUUUGACUGAAGAAAAGGAAGGGGUAAAGCCAGCAACUAAUUAGUCAAGGUGAGGCUCUUGCUCCUGAAGCAUCAAUAGCAUUAGCCAUAUCCUGAACAGCCAUAGAGCCACCAGCUGUAGAUUCCUGACAUGCCUGGCUCAUGGAGAAUAGUUUCAGGUCUAUGUACCCCUAUUCAUUGAUUUAUAUUUCAAAUGGGGGUACAGCUCAUUGAGCUUCGAAGUAACUUCUCUCUUUCAGAAUCUAGAUUGCAGAAAGCAAUCUGGCUGACCUAGAGCCAAGUUCCAAACUUGGCAGGUUAAUACAAUCUUCCUUGUUUGCAAGAGAAAGAAUAUUUGCCCAUUUUCAGGUUAGCAUAGAGAAAGGGGAAUAAAGACACUGAUCAGACAUCUCCAUUUUUAUUUACUUUGUUAGAGUGUGUUUAGGGGCAUGUCUACACUGCAAGAUUAGCAUGUCCCACCCAGUCUAUGCCCAACCGUAUCCCACCUAUUCCCUCCCACUGCCAUGCUCCAAAGCCCAAAAUAUACCAGUGAAGCUACUCCAGUGCUAAUGAGCACACCCAAAGUCUUGCACAGAUGCAGCUACACAGCUUCUGCUGCAGGAUGUAGCUUGUGCAGUGCAUGUUUGAGGCUGCUGCUGCUUAAGUUAACCAUACAGAUAUGGCCAUAGAUUCUCUGUUCUUGUAACAGGAAAAGGGUUGUACUCUGGAGAGCCUCUUAUGAGAGAGGCUCCAACAUUGUGGUUCAGAAAUGAACCAGUAGUUUGGUUUCGAUAUUAAGCUACUUAACCAGAAUAAUACAUAUGAUGACUUUGCAAACUGCCUGAGUCAAAUUUUAUUACCAAACUGCCACUUCCUUAGAUAAAAGGUCAUUUUUUAUAUUAUGUUGAUUGCUUCAGUUCUGAAACUAGAUUGUCCAAUUUGAUUAAAUUGUUUUGAGGUUAGUUUAGCUCUAAAGUUAUAUAUUCUCCAUUUUAAUUUAGCUUAAUAGUUCCAAUUUAAAAAAAAAUUAUGAAAGACAACCCAAUAUUGCACUUCUUUCAUUACGUAACAGGAUUCCAGACCACAAGGUGGAUAGGUAUCAGCUGGUCAGCAUAGAAAGUCCAACCAGCUGCUCCUAAUAUGUCUACAAAUUCUCACAUAGCAGCACCCACAAAAAGGGUUUCUGGUACUUUUGAAGAAGUCAGCAUAUUGAUUAGCCUUAUGGAUUGCUGUUUCUGAAUCACUGAAUUUGCUGAACUAAAAGACUGUUACAGCCAACAGAGGUGUGAAAGUCUAUUACAGUGGAACUGCUAACAUGCAGACAGGAAGCAGCUUGUGUGGUUUCACACUAGUAAGUAGUCUGGAUUUUUUAAAUUGUUAUAUUAAAAACCUAUUUUAUUUCUGAAUUAGAACUGUCAGAGCGGCUCUCUACUGUUUGACUGACACAUUAAUUGGGAUUUAAAAAUAUCAGUGGUUUGCAGGUUCAUUUGUGCAAGGAGCUUCCUGAACUGAAACAGUCAAGCAUGUUCCAAGUUUUAAAAACAUUAUACAUUUUUCUGUUUUUUUCCUCAGCUCAUUUCUGCCUUCUCCUGUGCCUUCUGCCUUCCCCUUCUAUGAUGUGCUGGCUUUUACUGCUCAGAUCUGAUGAAGAAUGUCUUGCAUGUGAAAGCUUGGCUAAUUCUAUCCCAAUUAUGCAGCUGGUCCAAUAAAAUAUCACCCAAGAAAUCAUUGCUUCUCCUGUGAAGGCAUUUUCAGGUUACAGUGGCAGCCACAAGUCCCUCUAAGAGAAAAGCUAACUGCCUUAGUGCAAAAAUGAGCCACUGUCACCCAGACAGUGCCUAGUCCAAAAAAGUAGCCAAGGGAUGAUAUCCUUCAACUGCCAUUCAAUUGGCUUGGCAGACAGUCCUCUGCAACAUGAGUUACAUUCUGAACCUGGCCACUGUCUGCAGUUUGGAUCAUCCCCAAAAUGUGUCUCUAUUUGCUGCCAGCUCAGUGUCCUUGACUGGUAUAGAAAUGAUUUUUAAGAAGCUCCAAAGGUCAUGCAGUAAAGUAAAACCUGGUUGUAAAAUGGUAGUAUUUUUAACAAGAAAGCUAUUGAUCACUGCCAACAGGGCUCAUAACCCUCUGCUAGCAAGAUGAGGCUGAUAAAUCAUGGGCUGGAAAAGCUGACAGUAAGGGAUGCCAAGAUUUGAAAGAAGCUGGUGAGCCUUUGACAGUCACUACCAUUUUGACUGAAGCAUCUUCAGAGCAUGUGGUAGAGUGAUGUUACUUGGCACUAGUGGCCAGGGUAAAGUUGUGGAUAGUAGAGUCCUUGAUGCCGAGUGUAAGAAGGAAAGAAAGUUUCAAAACCUCCAGUUAUUUGAGGUUCUUCCACUGGUACCCUUAGUGGUGUCUUGCACAGCUUCUGAACCAGGAGCUUGUGGUCUUAGAUCAGGCUUGCUAGAGACACCAGUGCUACUGCCCAUGAUCCAAAGAGGUUCCAUCUCUUCACAGUCCAUUAAGCCAUUUAAACAAACCAGCUGAAAUAGCCAGAAGCAGGCUUUACUGUCAGACCAUUGUGUGUUGAGUAGUUUAAUUACAGUAUUGCAUCCUUGGCAUUCCUGGUCACAGGGGCCUAACUCAUUAAGGAAUUCACAAUGUGCAACUCCCCCAGUCCAUCAUUUUACCAUCAAACUUAAUGCAUUUUCUUUUAGGAGGAAACUAAAGGAAAAAACAAAACAAGUCUAAUUCUCUGCAUAGUGCGUAUAACCCCAAAGUUGGGGUUCUCCUGACUGUAAAAAGGUUUGUAAUCAAAGGUACAGUAAAAAGGAAGAGGGAAUAUGAAUACCCAAUCUGUAAACAGCUAAUGUUGGAAGCACAUAGCAAACAUUGAGAUGACAAUAAAUCUCAAACAAAAAUCGAGUCCCUUUUCACUAAGGCAUGAAACACUACAGCUUCAGAGUCCAAGCCUCAUCUAUGACAAAAGGUCACAAACAAUGAACCCAGAUGUAAAUGGAUGUCUGUCAUGUGGGCUGUGUGCUUGUGGCUACUGAAACCAGAGUGGUCUCACCCCACUGGCCCAAUAGACAACUAGGCUUGACAGAAACUUUGACUUUGUAUUAGGCCCUGGACAAAUAAAGUCUAAUCUGAAUUGACUAAAGUUACAAGAAAUGUUCUGGGGCAGCUUAAGACAGGGAUGGCCAAAAUAUAGCCCACAGGCUGGAUCUGGCCAGCCAGCUGAUUGAAUCUGGCCCAAGGGUGGAAACAGCAACUGAUUGGAUCCAUCCCACAGCUGCCUCUGCUGUACUUUACAUGGGGUUGAGCCCUGCCCACCCCUGGCCCCAGCCAGCACAUACAGCUUCCCGGUGGCACUGCUUCCAAUGCAGCUGCCAUUGCAUUGCUUGGCUCCCCCUGCCACCAGCAGCAACUCCUCCUCCUCCGGUUCCUGCUGCACUACUCCAGGUGGGGGGUAAGGUGCAGUCAGGUUGCUCUUGCCCCAGUGUGCAGGUGGGCGCAGCCCGUGCCGGGAAGAUUGGUGCUGCCGCUGGCCCCAGGGGGCUUGCCUGCACCCCUGGAAGGGCUGCAGGGGCUGCCGGCUGGGGCCAGUGGCAGCACUGAUCUUCCCGGCACUGGCUAUGGGUGAAAUGUCUAAACCAUAUUGAAACAGCAAAAGAGUUUCAACAAAAUGAAACAGAACAGUGCUUUCGAAAGGAAAUGAAACUUGGAACGAAACACUGUUCCAUUGAAUCGUUGAAACAGAAGUCGAAGCAGAAUGAUGCUGUUUCACACAUCCCUAUUAGAAAUGGUGUUCUUUCAGACCUGCCCAAGAUGGAUCUCCAAAGUCAGUAAAUAUGGCACCCAGAUGCUUAAGUGGCUAGAGUCUGAAUACUGAAGGCAGAAGAUGCUAACAAAGGGUGGAAAAAUGAGACACUGGAAUGAUUUGCAUUGGGAAGAUGCCAGUUCUUGGUCUGGAAAGAACAAAUAUGCAGUAUGGCAGGGAAAUCUGCCAGUUAAAAUGCUCAGGCCCAGUGUUCUCCUCUCACCACAUCCCAUUUUGGAGUUCCAGGAAGGUAAGUUAGAUCUGCUGAGCAGCAGCUAAGCCCCAUGCUCUGCUGCUCCCUACAUACCAUCGCAAUCUCUGUGCAAACACAUUGUGUGUGGUGCAUAUUGGGAAGUGCAGCCUAGGAGCAGCUGCUUCCUGUCAUGUUCCCAUGAGAUAAAGCCUGAAAAUGUAUGCAAAGCACCAAGGAGCUUAACAUCUCCGUAGGGAGGCAUGGAGCAAAAGUUAGACAGCUUGCCCAUUUCUCUUGUGAUCCCUUCAUCCCUGCCAUGCUGUUGAUUGGCGCAGAUAUUUCAAUGAAGCCAUUAAUGAACAAAGCAACAUAUGCUGUUCCAGAGGCAAGGAAGGGGCAUUCACAGAGGAACAGCUGUCCCAUUUCUUCGCCAGGGGCCAUGGGGAUUUGAGCUGGUAUUUAACAGUGGAACGCCCACUCCAUUUGGCAAGGGCAAGGUCAACAAAGAGAAGCAAACGUGGUAUAAUUUUAAGAAAGACACUAGAGGGAAUGACUACAAUCUCAGUGCUUACUAGCAAUGAAAAGCCUUGAAGGGUCCAGAUUCUUAUCCUUCCCUUAUCUUAUUACCUCCAAGAUUGGACCAAGUUAAGAGAGCAUUACAGGUGCAGAGCAGGGCACUCAAAAGCUCUGAAAAUCAACCUUUCAGUCACAGCCCAUAGCAGUUUGCAAGGCAUCAGCCUAGCUAUUUAACUUGCCUUCUUCUCCACAUAGACCAGACAGCGCUUUGGAAAAUCAGGCAGCUGUCUGAGGUUUAAUUUCACAAUCCCUGCUGUCCAGUCUAUGUCACAAUGCACAUACUCCAACUCCUGUGGGGUGUGGGACAUGCACUUUCCCCCUUGCUCCUCAACAUGGGAUCCACCCCCAUACCAUGAUCCCUUUGUCCUAUGGUCUAGAGGGACACCAUGCCAGAAUGUUUCCCCUCAAUCCAGCCCUCCCCCACCAUGAGGCAUUUGCUGCACCAGAACUUAGGCUGUACAGUUCUGCACGCCUUCUGUGGCACAGGAAGGAUUGGUCUCUAGCCCUCUCAUUCUAUAAGUCUACUCCAUCUUCUCUUGUUUCCCCUCCAAGCCAACUUCCAUGUAUCAUCUUAGGCCAAACUCAGCUCUGAUAUUUCUUUGCUAACACACUUGCCAUAAAACACCUCACUAAGGCCCAACCAAAGACAAGGUCCCUAAUAGUCAAGUCUGUACACUAGUCCGUUUGCAGUGGUGUUUAUGGGGAGCAAACCAGUUUCAACCCCAAUUCAACCUGACUGGUCAUAGCAUGGCACACUGGGAGUGUACCUCCGAGCCCAACAUCUCCAAAUCAGGCCCUGGAGGUUAGAAACUCCUCACUUCUAAAUUUAAGUCAAGCAAUGCCAUUGCCUACCUCUACCAAUGGUUUUAUUCAGUAGUGUAACUGCAGAGGGGGGCACGGGUGGACAAAAGAGACAUCUACUUCAGGUGACACUUUUGCUGAGGGGCACAAAAAACAGCAGUGACCAGAGCAGCAGUUGAUCAUGCCACUGUGACUGGCACCACAGAAGACAAUGCUGCCCUGAGAGUCAAGUGGCUGCCCAGGGCACAGAGCUGCUUGGCUACACCUCCAGUUUUAAUGAAGGCAAUGAGACUGCCUGAGGCAUAAAGAGGGCAAUGUUGGGUCUAAUGUGGGGAAGCUCACUGUCAUCCCAUGACCUACAUAUAACAUCCACUUCGAAGAGGAAGACCACAAGACCUGCUUAUGGUCAAAUGAUCCAUGACUAACCUGAUCAAGAUCAAUUCAUGCUUCAAGGAAGCUCUGGUAACAGGAAUUGUUUCUAGCCUGCCUGCACACUGACUCCAGCCACAGUGAACUUUCAGAAGAUUCAAUGUCUGCAAGUAACAACCUUAACUGUUUUGGUAAUAUUAGCUUAGGUAUAGAAAAAGCCUAACAGCAAAGUAUUGGAGGCACUGUCAAGACACUCAAGAAGGCUAGACUUUUAUGAAUCUGAAUCAGAGAUGUACAUUUAGCUACACAUAAAAAACUAGUGACAAUAUAUUUUUACUAUUUUGCCUAGCUUGUUCUUAAUAUAUAUGUGCAAAAUUAGUGCACAUCCUAAUAUUUGUAAUUGUUUUUAUUUUUAUCUUAAACUGAGUAAUAUAGUGCUAACCCCUUAGUGUAACAUAAAAGCUUCCAGUUGCUCUUUAUUUGGAAAAAAUGUGUUGUGUUACAUGUGAUGAUGUUCCACACCAUCUGCACUCCCUUUUCAAAAUACUAGAUGUGCCCAUGUGCACAAGAUACUGUUGAGGUGUGACACUAUCAAUGUAGAGGCCCAUCUUGACCUCAGAAUACUCCAUAGAUAGCCAAGAGCUUUGUUCCAAUCCCGAUCUCAGAGUGGAAAAGGGAACACACAAACCUUGGUUUGCAGCAUCAGCCUCUCUCUGCCUCCCUGCACUCUCUCCCUAUCCUGCAUGGCACAGCAGUUUCUACAAGCAAAGCACUAAGGGAGCCCCUGUUCUUCUGCCUGCCUGGAGUCUUUUCAGCAUGGCAGAAUGCCCAGCUCUGAAUGCAUUCCUCCUACAAGGGUCCUUACUUACACAGUGGGUCCCAGUAUCUUCAUCUGAAUUGUCUGCAUGUCAAGAGGCUGAAGCACUGGAAAUUUGGGCUAAGAUUUCAAAACCAGGCUGGGGAUUUAGAUACAAUUCAACAGCCAGUUGGAAUUGUGCAGCUAUUGAAGUGAGCUGAAGUUGUAAGUUGAAAUCUCUUGAGCAGCUUCCAAAUAUUCAUCUGAAGCACACAUUACAAGCAAGACAUUAUGUGGGUGGGGAAGGGUGGCAAAAUGAAGGCAGUCAAGCCACAGAAGGAUAAAAUAAAAUAAAAUGAAGUAAGAAAUAAAGAAUUUAUGAAAAAUAAAAGAGAAGUAAAUUAAAGAA